AAUUCAGCAACGAAAAGAUGAGUACAGGUAUUUCGAUUGUAAAGAGAGUCCCCCUUUGAUGAAACGGGAUCAAUUGAAAGCUUGGAAGAUGGUCUUUGAGCUUUGAUUGUGAGCCUUGAUAAUGAUCAGUUCAAGUGUAAGCAAUCAACGACAGCACUCGUUAACGUGCGGGCACUAUGUUUAAUUAAUGGUGUCCAUAAGAUUUUAACUGUAAGGCUAAAAUGAUAAAAGGUGGUACCACGCAAAGCGUCCUUUCC
rnacentral:ncRNA from 1 species